AUUGAACGCUGGCGGCAGGCCUAACACAUGCAAGUCGAGCGGAUGAAGGGAGCUUGCUCCUGGAUUCAGCGGCGGACGGGUGAGUAAUGCCUAGGAAUCUGCCUGGUAGUGGGGGAUAACGUCCGGAAACGGGCGCUAAUACCGCAUACGUCCUGAGGGAGAAAGUGGGGGAUCUUCGGACCUCACGCUAUCAGAUGAGCCUAGGUCGGAUUAGCUAGUUGGUGGGGUAAAGGCCUACCAAGGCGACGAUCCGUAACUGGUCUGAGAGGAUGAUCAGUCACACUGGAACUGAGAAACGGUCCCGGAUCCUAAGGGGAGGAACAGUGGGGAAUAUUGGACCAUGGGCGAAAGCCUGAUCCAGCCAUGCCGCGUGUGUGAAGAAGGUCUUCGGAUUGGAAAGCACUUUAAGUUGGGAGGAAGGGCAGUAAGUUAAUACCUUGCUGUUUUGACGUUACCAACAGAAUAAGCACCGGCUAACUUCGUG
rnacentral:rRNA from 1 species